rnacentral:rRNA from 1 species
UACGGAGGGUGCGAGCGUUAUCCGGAUUUACUGGGUUUAAAGGGUGUGUAGGCGGGCUGGUAAGUCAGGGGUGAAAUCCCGGAGCUCAACUCCGGAACUGCCUUUGAUACUACUGGUCUUGAAUAUUGUUGAGGUAGGCGGAAUGUGUCAUGUAGCGGUGAAAAUGCAUAGAUAUGACACAGAACACCGAUUGCGAAGGCAGCUUACUGGGCAAUUAUUGACGCUGAGGCACGAAAGCGUGGGGAUCAAACAGG